rnacentral:tRNA from 1 species
GUCAGUAUGGCCGAGCGGUCUAAGUCGCUGCGUUCAGGUCGCAGUCCAGUACUCUGGGCGAGGGUUCGAAUCUCUCUUCUGACA